rnacentral:SRP_RNA from 1 species
CUUCGGGCUCUGUGCGACGGAUGUUCGCGAACCCCGCCAGGUCCGGAAGGAAGCAACGGUAACGAACCUCUCCGUGUGCCGCAGAUCAACCCGAAGUCU